AUUGAACGCUGGCGGCGUGCUUAACACAUGCAAGUCGAUCGGUAACAGGUGUAGCAAUACAUGCUGACGAGAGGCGGACGGGUGAGUAAUGCUUGGGAAUCUGCCUAUUAGUGGGGGACAACCCGGGGAAACUCGGGCUAAUACCGCAUACGCUCUACGGAGGAAAGCCGGGGACCGCAAGGCCUGGCGCUAAUAGAUGAGCCCAAGUCGGAUUAGCUAGUUGGUAGGGUAACGGCCUACCAAGGCGACAAUCCGUAGCUGGUCUGAGAGGACGACCAGCCACACCGGAACUGAGACACGGUCCGGACUCCUACGGGAGGCAGCAGUGGGGAAUAUUGGACAAUGGGGGCAACCCUGAUCCAGCGACGCCGCGUGGGUGAAGAAGGCCUGCGGGUUGU
rnacentral:rRNA from 1 species